ensembl:lncRNA
GGGAGGGGUUGAAUGGAGCUGAAGGAUGGGACUGGAUGGUGUUGAGAGAUAGAUGGGAGGGGUUGAAUGGAGCUGAAGGAUGGGACUGGAUGGUGUUGAGGGGUAGAUGGGAGGGUUUGAAUGGAGCUGAAGGAUGGGACUGGAUGGUGUUGAGGGGUAGAUGGGAGGGGUUGAGUGGAGCUGAAGGGUGGGACUGGAUGGUGUUGAGAGAUAGAUGGGAGGGGUUGAAUGGAGCUGAAGGGUGGGACUGGAUGGUGUUGAGAGAUAGAUGGGAGGGGUUGAAUGGAGCUGAAGGAUGGGACUGGAUGGUGUUGA